rnacentral:rRNA from 1 species
UUCGAGUGGCGGACGGGUGAGUAACGCGUGGGUAACCUGCCUUACACAGGGGGAUAACACCUGGAAACAGGUGCUAAUACCGCAUAAGCGCACAGGGCCGCAUGGCCCGGUGUGAAAAACUCCGGUGGUGUAAGAUGGACCCGCGUCUGAUUAGCUUGUUGGCGGGGUAGGGGCCCACCAAGGCGACGAUCAGUAGCCGGCCUGAGAGGGUGGACGGCCANAUUGGGACUGAGACACGGCCCAAACUCCUACGGAAGGCAGCAG